UACGUAGGGCGCAAGCGUUGUCCGGAAUUAUUGGGCGUAAAGAGCUCGUAGGCGGUCUGUCGCGUCGAUCGUGAAAACUUGGGGCUUAACCCUGAGCUUGCGGUCGAUACGGGCAUGACUGGAGUUCGGUAGGGGAGACUGGAAUUCCUGGUGUAGCGGUGAAAUGCGCAGAUAUCAGGAGGAACACCGGUGGCGAAGGCGGGUCUCUGGGCCGAUACUGACGCUGAGGAGCGAAAGCGUGGGGAGCGAACAGG
rnacentral:rRNA from 1 species